rnacentral:lncRNA from 1 species
UGACACUAUUCUUCAGCACCUUAUUUCUCCAGUUCCAUUUUAUUAGCAGUGUUUCUCUGUAUCUUGCUGGAAGCAUCUGCUCUUUCAUCAUCUAGUGUUUAUUUUACCUGAAAGGGGAAAACAUGGUACAUCCUCCUCUCCUGUAACCACUAUCAUGAUGUCUCACAAAUGGUGAUACCGUUAGUUUCUUUAGGGUUAUUUUCUUUAUGAUCCACUCUUUUCCCCCGAGGAUGGAGGAAGAAAGAAGAAGGAAAAAAGAUGGCAGUGAAUGGCAACUGAGAAGAAAUGAGCAUUGGAGAGAGGGAAAGAGUGGAAGAUAUAGCAGACUAGAUUCUGCACAUCUCCUACCAAGAACAACAGGAAGUACCAUCUGUUUGAAGAUAUCAGAAUACUAAUAAAACAAUGAGAAUUGGAGGACAUAUGAUUUUAUAACAGAGGAAAGUGCAAAGAAGAGACUUUAGGAUUUAACUCUAUUUUUCCCCUGAAACAUUUGCAAGUGUUUAAGUAACAGUCUAGAUGUUGUAAGGUGAGAGAGCUUUCAACAGUCUUACUAGGGUAGGAGUUUCCAAAGGGGAAGGAGCUGUGGUAAACAUCUGUGUUUUUCUGUUUGGAACCUUGAAAGGCUGGCUACUCCUUGGAACUCAGAGUGAAAUGUAAAUAGAAUAAGCCUGCACAAAGAUUCAAAUUCAAGCUAUUUAUUAGUGCAAUUCCAGAUUGGAUUAAAUUGAAAUGUCUAUAUUCUACAUGUCCUAACAUCAAAU